rnacentral:rRNA from 1 species
GAACGCUGGCGGCGUGCUUAACACAUGCAAGUCGAACGAAGCACUUUAUUUGAUUUCCUUCGGGACUGAUUAUUUUGUGACUGAGUGGCGGACGGGUGAGUAACGCGUGGGUAACCUGCCUUGUACAGGGGGAUAACAGUUGGAAACGGCUGCUAAUACCGCAUAAGCGCACAGCAUCGCAUGAUGCAGUGUGAAAAACUCCGGUGGUAUAAGAUGGACCCGCGUUGGAUUAGCUAGUUGGUGAGGUAACGGCCCACCAAGGCGACGAUCCAUAGCCGACCUGAGAGGGUGACCGGCCACAUUGGGACUGAGACACGGCCCAAACUCCUACGGGAGGCAGCAGUGGGGAAUAUUGCACAAUGGGCGAAAGCCUGAUGCAGCGUCGCCGCGUGAGCGAAGAAGUAUUUCGGUAUGUAAAGCUCUAUCAGCAGGGAAGAUAAUGACGGUACCUGACGAAGAAGCACCGGCUAAAUACGUG